rnacentral:misc_RNA from 1 species
GAUGAAGAACGUAGCGAAAUGCGAUAAGAAAUGCGAAUUGCAGAAUUCCGUGAGUCAUCGAAUCUUUGAACGCACAUUGCGCCCUCUGGUAUUCCGGAGGGCAUGCCUGUCUGAGCGUCAUUGUCAACCCUCAAGCUCAGCUUGCUGUUGGGUCCCCGUCGUUGCUUUAACGGCGGACCCGAAAGGUAAUGGCAGAGUCCGUGAGACCCUAGACGCAGCGAGCUUCUAGCACGCGUCUGGACGUUUUUCGGGCUCGGUCUUAACUAGAUGAUAACUUCCGAUUGACCUCAGAUCAGGUAGGGAUACCCGCUGAACUUAAGCAUAUCAAUAAGCGGAGGA